UUGAUAAAUGUGAUUGUAAUUUUUUUGUGUUGUUAUAUAUGUUUGGAUGUUUUGUUAUUAUGAUUCGUUGGUGGUUGAUAUCCUACUUAUUGUGUUAUGAAUUUUGAAUGAGUUUUUUCGUGUAUCUAUUUAGUGUAUUUGUUAUAUUGUAUUUAAUAUUUUAGUUUAUUUUGUACUUUUGUUGAGAGAUAAUUUUACACUUGGGACACCCUUUUGAAUAUGUAUUUAUUUCUUUGUAUGUCUCCCUAUAUGGGUUGUGCCAAGUGAAAAUUUUGUAAUGUAAACUUACUAUAAAUGUAAGGUAUAGAGUGUGGCCUGGAAAGGUUGAGUGAAUUUUUGUAAUGUACAACUCACAAAUCAUGUAAGCUGAAAAUGAGGGUAAAAGUUGGGAGAUUCAGCUUCUUGAAAUUGAAUCAAUAUUGAUAUUUACAAGCAUGAAGAAAUUUUAAUAGCUAAUGUAUUAUUUAAAUUAGAAAUUUUUGUUUGAAUGAUAUUGUACUAAUGUGAUACAAGUGUGAACAAAAUUUUAAAAAUAUUUUGCAGGUUGUAUUGAUUCUUAGCAAGCUUGCUAAAUUUAGAAGUCUUUACUUCUCUUGGAACAUGAGGUACUAUUUAUCGGUAUAUUUUUUUUAUUCUUAUUUGUUUCUACCUUAAAUUUUUGUUUGAGAACACAGGUUUGACAAAAGUAGCAACCUUUAAGAAAAGGGAGGUAGUAAGAAUGUAGUGGGAUUUGGAUUUUGUGAUAGAUUUGGAUAGAAAAAGAAUUGUAAAUACCUAUAGGCGUAGAAGAGGGCUAGUUUUAUAAGUACUAAAUAUUUAGGAAAAUAAUUAUAUUAUAUUAUAUUAUAUUAUAUUAUAUUAUAUUAUAUUAUAUUAUAUUAUAUUAUAUUAUUAUGUAAUAUACGUAAUAUACAUGUGUAUCUACACAUUAUAUUACAUAAAUAUAUAUUAUAUAAAAUGCGUUAUAUAUAUUUACGCAUUGUUAUUAAACUUUGUUUGGAAUAUUGUAAUUUUUUUGAAUGUGUUAUAUAUGUGUUAUUUUUUUUGUUAUUGUGUGAUGUUUCGAUUGAAUAUUGUAAUAUUUGUUUUCAAUGUGAUGUUUCAUCGGAAUAUUAUAAUUUUUUUGAUUAAUGUUGAUUUUGUUUGUGAAUGUGAUGUUUCGUUGAUAAAUGUGAUUGUAAUUUUUUUUCCUGUUGUUAUAUAUAUGUUUGGAUGUUUUGUUAUUAUGUUUCGUUGGUGGUUGAUAUCCUACUUAUUGUGUAAUUUAUUUUGAAUGAAUUUUUUCGUGUAUCUAUUUAGUGUAUUUAUUAUAUUGUAUUUAAUAUUUUAGUUUAUUUUGUACUUUUGUUGAGAGAUAAUUUUACACACUUGGGACACCCAUUUGAAUAUGUAUUGAUAUUUCUUUGUAUGUCUUUCUAUAUGCGUUGUGCCAAGUGAAAAUUUUGUAAUGUAAACUUACUAUAAAUGUAAGGUAUAGAGUGUGGCCUGGAAAGGUUGAGUGAAUUUUAGUAAUGUACAACUCUCAAACCAUGUAAGCUGAAGAUGGGGAUAAAAGAUGGGAAAUUCAGCUUCUUGAAAUUGGAUCAAUAUUGAUAUUUACAAGCAUGAAGAAAUUUUAAUAGCAAAGGUAUUAUUUAAAUUAGAAAUUUUGUUUGAAUGAUAUUGUACUAAUGCGAUAUAAGUUUGAACAAAAUUUUAAAAAUAUUUUGCAGGUUGUAUUGAUUCUUAGCAAGCUUUCUAAAUUUAGAAGUCUUUACUUCUCUUGGAACAUGAGGUACUAAUUAUCGGUAUAUUUUUUUUAUUCUUAUUUGUUUUUAACUUAAAUUUUUGUUUGAGAACACAUGUUUGACAAAAGUAGCAACCUUUAGGAAAAGGGAGGUAGUAAGAAUAUAGUGGAAUUUGGAUUUUGUGAUAGAUUUGAGUAGAAAAAGAGUCGUAAGUAGGUAUAGGCGUAGAAGAGGGCUAGUUUUAUAGAUUCUAAAUAUUUAGGAAAAUAAUAUAAUAUAAUUAUAUUAUAUUAUAUUUAUAAUUAUAUUAUAUUAUACUGUACUAUACUAUACUAUACUUUAUUAUAUUAUAUUAUAUUAUAUUAUAUUAUAUUAUAUUAUAUUAUUAUGUAAUAUACGUAAUAUACAUGUGUAUCGAUACACAUUAUAUUACAUAAAUAUAUAUUAUAUAAAAUGUGUUAUAUAUGUUUACACAUUGUUAUUAAACUUUGUUUGGAAUAUUGUAAUAUUUGUUUUGAAUGUGAAAUUUCGUCGGAAUAUUAUAAUUUUUUUGAUGAAUGCUAAUUUUGUUUGUGAAUGUGAUGUUUCUUUGAUAAAUGUGAUUGUAAUUUUUUUGUGUUGUUAUAUAUGUUUGGAUGUUUUGUUAUUAUGUUUUGUUGGUGGUUGAUAUCCUACUUAUUGUGUUAUGAAUUUUGAAUGAGUUUUUUCGUGUAUCUAUUUAGUGUAUUUGUUAUAUUGUAUUUAAUAUUUUAGUUUAUUUUCCCUCUAUAUGGGUUGUGCCAAGUGAAAAUUUUGUAAUGUAAACUUACUAUAAAUGUAAGGUAUAGAGUGUGGCCUAGAAUGGUUGGGUGAAUUUUUGUAAUGUACAACUCACAAACCAUGUAAGCUGAAGAUAAGGGUAAAAGAUGGUAGAUUCAGCUUCUUGAAAUUGGAUCAAUAUUGAUAUUUACAAGCAUGAAGAAAUUUUAAUAGCAAAGGUAUUAUUUAAAUUAGAAUUUUUUGUUUGAAAGAUAUUGUAUUAAUGCCAUAAAAGUUUGAACAAAAUUUUAAAAAUAUUUUGCAGGUUGUAUUGAUUCUUAGCAAGCUUGCUAAAUUUAGAAGUCUUUACAUUGGAAAAUGAUGUACUAUUUAUCGGUAUAUUUUUUUUAUUCUUAUUUGUUUCUAACUUAAAUUUUUGUUUGAGAACACAGAUUUGACAAAAGUAGCAGCCUUUAAGAAAAGGGAUAUAUAUAGUAAGAAUGUAGUGGCAUUUUAAUUUUGUGAUAGAUUUGGGUAGAAAAAGAGUCGUAAGUAGGUAUAGGCGUAGAAGAGGGUUAGUUUUAUAGGUUUUAAAUAUUUAGGAAAAUAAUUAUAUUAUAUUAUAUUAUAUUAUAUUAUUAUGUAAUAUAUGUAAUAUACAUGUGUAUCGAUACACAUUAUAUUACAUAAUUAUAUAUUAUAUAAAAUGUUUUAUAUAUGUUUACGCAUUGUUAUUAAACUUUGUUUGGAAUAUUGUAAUUUUUUUGAAUGGUCUUGCUUGAUGAAUAUGUUAUAUAUGUGUGUUAAUUUUUUAUUUUUUUUGUGUUGUUAUAUAUGUUUGGAUGUUUUGUUAUUAUGUUUUGUGUAUUUAUUUAGUGUAUUUGUUAUAUUGUAUUUAAUAUUCUAAUUUAUUUUGUACUUUUGUUGAGAGAAUUUUACACUUGAGGCACCUUUUGAAUAUGUAUUGAUAUUUCUUUGUAUGUCUCUUUAUAUGGGUUGUGUAAAGUGAAAAUUUUGUAAUGUAGAAUUUACUAUAAAUGUAAGGCAUAGAGUGUGGCCUGGAAAGGUUGAGUGAAUUUUUGUAAUGUACAACUCACAAACCAUGUAAGCUGAAGAUGAGGGUAAAAGAUGGGAGAUUCAGCUUCUUAAAAUUGGAUCAAUAUUGAUAUCUACAAGCAUGAAGAAAUUUCAACAGCAAAGGUAUUAUUUAAAUUAGAAAUUGUUGUUUGAAUGAUAUUGUACUAAUGCGAUACAAGUUUGAAUAAAAGAUUAAAAAUAUUUUGCAGGUUGUAUUGAUUCUUAGCAAGUUUGCUAAAUUUAGAAGUCUUUACUUCUCUUGGAACAUGAGGUACUAUUUAUUGGGAUAUAUUUUUUUAUUCUUAUUUCUUUCUAACUUCAAUUUUUAUUUGAGAACGCAGGUUUGACAAAAGUAGCAGCCUUUCUUAAAGAGAAAAGGGAGGUAGUAAGAAUGUAGUGUGAUUUGGAUUCUUUGAUAGAUUUGGGUAGAAAAAAAGCCGUAAGUAGGUAUAGGCGUAGAAGAGGGCUACUUUUAUAGGUUCUAAAUAUUUAGGAAAGUGAUUAUAAUUAUAUUAUAUUAUAUUAUACUAUACUAUACUAUACUAUACUAUACUAUACUAUUUUAUACUAUACUAUACUAUACUAUACUAUACUAUACUAUACUAUACUACAGUAUAUUAUAUUAUAUUAUAUUAUAUUAUAUUAUACGUAAUAUACAUAUGUGUCCACUUUAUAAUAUAUAAAUAUAUAUUAUAUAAAAUGUGUUAUAUAUGUUUACACAUUGCUAUUAAACUUUGUUUGGAAUAUUAUAAUUUUUUUGGAUGGUCUUGCUUGAUGAAUGUGUUAUAUAUGUGUUAUAUUUAUUUUUUUUGUUAUUGUGUGAUGUUUCGUUGGAAUAUUGUAAUAUUUGUUUUGAAUGUGAUGUUUCAUUGGAAUAUUGAAUUUUUUUUAUGAAUGUUGAUUUUGUUUGUGAAUGUGAUGUUUCGUUGAUGAAUAAUGUGAUUGUAAUUUUUUUUUGUUGUAAUAUAUGUUUGGAUGUUUUGUUAUUAUGUUUCGUUGGUGGUUGAUGUCCUAUUUAUUGUGAUAUGAAUUUUGAAUAAGUUUUUUUGUGUAUUUAUUUAGUGUAUUUAAUAUUUUAAUUUAUUUUGUUCUUUUGUUUUGAGAUAAUUUUAUACUUGGGGCACCUUUUGAAUAUGUAUUGAUAUUUCUUUGUAUGCUUCUCUAUAUGGGUUAUGCAAAGUUAAAAUUUUGUAAUAUAGAAUUUACUAUAAAUGUAAGGCAUAGAGUGUGGCCUGGUAAGGUUGAGGAAAUUUUUAUAAUGUACAACUCACAAACCAUGUAAGCUGAAGAUGAGGGUAAAUGAUAGGAGAUUCAACUUCUUGAAAUUGAAUCAAUAUUAUUAUUUUUAAGCAUGAAGAAAUUUCCAUAGCAAAGGUAUUAUUUAAAUUAGACAUUGUUGUUUGACUGAUAUUGUACUAAUGCGAAAUAAGUUUGAACAAAAUUUUUAAAAUAUUUUGCAGGUUAUCAUUAUUAGCAAGCUUGCUAAAUUUAGAAGUUUUUACUUCUAUUGGAACAUGAGGUACUAUUUAUCGGUAUAUUUUUUUUAUUAUUAUUUUUUUCUAACUUAAAUUUUUGUUUGAGAAUAUAGGUUUGAUAAAAGUAGCAGCCUUUCUUAAAUAGAAAAAGGAGGUAGUAAGAAUGUAGUGGGAUUUGAAUUUUGUGAUAGAUUUGGGUAGAAAAAGAGCUGUAAGUAGGUAUAGACGUAGAAGAGAGCUAGUUUUAUAGGUUCUAAAUAUUUAGGAAAGUGAUAUAAUUAUAUUAUAUUAUAUUAUAUUAUAUUAUAUUAUAUUAUAUUAUAUUAUAUUAUAUUAUAUUAUAUUAUAUUAUAUUAUAUAUAUUAUAUUAUGUUAUGUUAUAUUAUAUAUUAUAUUAUGUUAUAUUAUAUUAUUAUGUAAUAUACGUAAUAUACAUAUAUAUGCAUACACAUUAUAUUAUAUUAAUAUCUAUUGUAAUUUUUUUUGAAUGGUCUAGCUUGAUGAAUGUGUUAUAUAUGUGUUAUUUUUAUUUUUUUUGUUAUUAUGUGAUGUUUCGUUGGAAUAUUGUAAUAUUUGUUUUGAAUGAGAUGUUUCAUUGGAAUAUUAAUUUUUUUUUUGAUGAAUGUUGAUUUUGUUUGUGAAUGUGAUGUUUCGUUGAUGAAUGUGAUUGUAAUUUUUUUGUGUUGUUAUAUAUGUUUGGAGGUUUUGUUAUUAUGUUCCGUUGGUGGUUGAUGUCCUACUUAUUGUGAUAUGAAUUUUGAAUAAGUUUUUUCGUAUAUUUAUUUAAAAAUUUUGUAAUAUAGAAUUUACUAUAAAUGUAAGACAUAGAGUGUGGCAUGGAAAGGUUGAGGGAAUUUUUGUAAUGUACAACUCACAAACCAUGUAAGUUGAAGAUGAGGGUAAAUGAUAGGAGAUUCAGCUUCUUGAAAUUGGAUCAAUA
rnacentral:lncRNA from 1 species